ensembl:snoRNA
UAGUCAUUACCAAGGCUUUUAGAAUGCAGUUUCUCAUUUGCUGGGGACAAUGGCCAUAAAUCAUUUUGCUGCUAGGAUUUUCUACCUGCUAUCUUAUUCAGCCUAAUGGAAACAUCU